CAAUACAUCCUGCAACACCAAGAAACCCUACCAAAAGUACAAUACAUCCUGCAACACCAAGAAACCCUACCAAAAGUACAAUAGAUCCUGCAACACCAAGAAACCUGACCAAGAAUACAAUACAUCGGCCAGCAACACCAAAAACCUGAACAAGAAUACAAUACAUCCUGCAACACCAAGAAACCUACCCGAGAAUACAAUACAUACUGCAACACCAAUAACUCUACCCAGGAAUAAUAGUGUUCAAGAAAGAGCGAUUGGGCGGUUAGCUGAAAGUGGUCACGUGUAAUGAACACAGUGUUUGAAGAAAGAACUAUAGCGAUUGGCUGAGACUGAUUACGUGAAAUAAACGUUAUUCUAAAGAAAGAGCUAUUGCCAUUGGCUGAAAAUGAAGACGCAAAAAAUAAUUGAAAAGAAAAGAAGAAAAGCAUGCGUUAACUGGAACUCGAAUUGUAACGAAGAAAAUGUAAAGGCAGAGUUUUCAUUGUGAUCAUGUUCUAGCCUUCACGGUUUGUCCAAGAACAUGUGGCCUUUGCAUCGAAUUUUAAACAGCUCCAGCUGAACACACGAUAGGAACACGAUACCUGGCAGACUCAACUUUCCGGUUUGACUGAGCAGCAAAAUGAAAUGACAAUAAGAUAUAAUCAAGGAACAGAUCGGAGACUACUUUUUGCCAUACUCUUAGCCUUUAAAUUAGCUACUAUCAUCUAAGUAUAAUUGGUAAAUCUUCACUCGAUUUUUUCACUUAUAGUUUAUCAUUAUCCGUAUUAUGUUGUUGGUAUUAUAUUUAAAAAUUUUGUUAGGGUGCACUUAAUUUGGAGCCAAGCUCUGUUGUGCUUACCCCUUCCAUGAUAGCUUAGGAACUUAGUUGAUUGUCAUGGAUAAAGUUAUGUACAUAAAUAAAUAAUGAUUAAAUUCACAGAAUAAAG